CCUGCUCUAGCUUGUUUCCAUCUAAUAAACCUGGAACUGCAGACUAAAUAUUGUUGGCUCUGUGUCAAAUUGCUUGUUUUGCUCCUAGAUUCUUCAGUGCUGAUGGCCUGCUGCAUCCAGCAGAGUCGCAGUGAACCUACUGUAAGACAACAUCUCCAAGAUGCUAUUGACCACAAGACUAGUACAGGUUAUUAGAAACUGCACAGCACAGGACUUACAGGACUUGUGAGGACUUCAGAUGAUACCAGUACUCAAAAGACCUUAGAUGAUGGCAACUAUAGAUGGACAUACAAACUACCGCCACUGCAAAAAAGAUUCUAAUUUAAAAGAAGUUUAUAAUGCAUGUUCGCUACUCCCAAUUCAGAAGACUGAAUCAGGCUGUGUAUCUGAAUGUUUCUCAUACUCGCUCCUCUCUGCCACGUCUGAAUUUGGGAUUUUCCUUAGCUGUCAGUUAUAAACGUCAAAAUUAAAAGAAAUAAACGUUUGAAAUAUUUCAGUCUGUGUGUAAUGAAUGAAUAUAAUAUACAAGUUUCACUUUUUGAAUGGAAUUAGUGAAAUAAAUCAACUUUUUGAUGAUAUUCUAAUUAUAUGACCAGCACCUGUAUCAUUGCUCUUUUGUUGAUUUUGAUUGCUUCCAUUGUCCUCAUUUGUAAGUUGCUUUGGAUAAAAGUGUCUGCUAAAUGUAAAUGUAAUGUUAAUGUGUAUUUAACUAUAUUUAUAAAUAUUUAUCUGUAUUUUUUAUUUUGUAACAAUGUAAAUGUAUUUGUUUUAUAUCUAUACAUGCAGUUGUAUUCAUGUAUGUAUAUUUAUUUGUCUAAUUUUUAUAUUUUAAUAAAGCAGUUUAGACUACAUGAGUGUUUUCUUUAUUCUGGAUGAAUUACAUAUUCUUUUGUGUCUAGAAAGGGUAAAUAUGGGCCAUAUGUAACCCAGAAGUCAGCCACAACUGGGACGGAUCUGGGCCACAUCUCAGAAAUGCCCAUGCCAUUUGUGAG